GGUUAAGCGACUAAGCGUACACGGUGGAUGCCCUGGCAGUCAGAGGCGAUGAAGGACGUGCUAAUCUGCGAAAAGCGUCGGUAAGGUGAUAUGAACCGUUAUAACCGGCGAUGUCCGAAUGGGGAAACCCAGUGUGAUUCGUCACACUAUCGUUAACUGAAUACAUAGGUUAACGAGGCGAACCGGGGGAACUGAAACAUCUAAGUACCCCGAGGAAAAGAAAUCAACCGAGAUUCCCCCAGUAGCGGCGAGCGAACGGGGAGCAGCCCAGAGUCUGAAUCAGCUUGUGUGUUAGUGGAACGGUCUGGAAAGUCCGACGGUACAGGGUGAUAGUCCCGUACACCAAAAUGCACAGGCUGUGAACUCGAAGAGUAGGGCGGGACACGUGGUAUCCUGUCUGAAUAUGGGGGGACCAUCCUCCAAGGCUAAAUACUCCUGACUGACCGAUAGUGAACCAGUACCGUGAGGGAAAGGCGAAAAGAACCCCGGCGAGGGGAGUGAAAAAGAACCUGAAACCGUGUACGUACAAGCAGUGGGAGCACCUUCGGGUGUGACUGCGUACCUUUUGUAUAAUGGGUCAGCGACUUAUAUUCUGUAGCAAGGUUAACCGUAUAGGGGAGCCGCAGGGAAACCGAGUCUUAACUGGGCGUUAAGUUGCAGGGUAUAGACCCGAAACCCGGUGAUCUAGCCAUGGGCAGGUUGAAGGUUGGGUAACACUAACUGGAGGACCGAACCGACUAAUGUUGAAAAAUUAGCGGAUGACUUGUGGCUGGGGGUGAAAGGCCAAUCAAACCGGGAGAUAGCUGGUUCUCCCCGAAAGCUAUUUAGGUAGCGCCUCGUGAAUUCAUCUUCGGGGGUAGAGCACUGUUUCGGCUAGGGGGUCAUCCCGACUUACCAACCCGAUGCAAACUACGAAUACCGAAGAAUGUUAUCACGGGAGACACACGGCGGGUGCUAACGUCCGUCGUGAAGAGGGAAACAACCCAGACCGCCAGCUAAGGUCCCAAAGUCAUGGUUAAGUGGGAAACGAUGUGGGAAGGCACAGACAGCCAGGAUGUUGGCUUAGAAGCAGCCAUCAUUUAAAGAAAGCGUAAUAGCUCACUGGUCGAGUCGGCCUGCGCGGAAGAUGUAACGGGGCUAAACCAUGCACCGAAGCUGCGGCAGCGACACUAUGUGUUGUUGGGUAGGGGAGCGUUCUGUAAGCCUGCGAAGGUGACCUGUGAGGGUUGCUGGAGGUAUCAGAAGUGCGAAUGCUGACAUAAGUAACGAUAAAGCGGGUGAAAAGCCCGCUCGCCGGAAGACCAAGGGUUCCUGUCCAACGUUAAUCGGGGCAGGGUGAGUCGACCCCUAAGGCGAGGCCGAAAGGCGUAGUCGAUGGGAAACAGGUUAAUAUUCCUGUACUUGGUGUUACUGCGAAGGGGGGACGGAGAAGGCUAUGUUAGCCGGGCGACGGUUGUCCCGGUUUAAGCAUGUAGGCUGGUUAUCCAGGCAAAUCCGGAUAAUCAAGGCUGAGGUGUGAUGACGAGGUACUACGGUGCUGAAGUAACAAAUGCCCUGCUUCCAGGAAAAGCCUCUAAGCAUCAGGUAACAUCAAAUCGUACCCCAAACCGACACAGGUGGUCAGGUAGAGAAUACCAAGGCGCUUGAGAGAACUCGGGUGAAGGAACUAGGCAAAAUGGUGCCGUAACUUCGGGAGAAGGCACGCUGGUGUGUAGGUGAAGUCCCUGCGGAUGGAGCUGAGACCAGUCGAAGAUACCAGCUGGCUGCAACUGUUUAUUAAAAACACAGCACUGUGCAAACACGAAAGUGGACGUAUACGGUGUGACGCCUGCCCGGUGCCGGAAGGUUAAUUGAUGGGGUUAUCCGUAAGGAGAAGCUCUUGAUCGAAGCCCCGGUAAACGGCGGCCGUAACUAUAACGGUCCUAAGGUAGCGAAAUUCCUUGUCGGGUAAGUUCCGACCUGCACGAAUGGCGUAAUGAUGGCCAGGCUGUCUCCACCCGAGACUCAGUGAAAUUGAACUCGCUGUGAAGAUGCAGUGUACCCGCGGCAAGACGGAAAGACCCCGUGAACCUUUACUAUAGCUUGACACUGAACAUUGAGCCUUGAUGUGUAGGAUAGGUGGGAGGCUUUGAAGCGUGGACGCCAGUCUGCGUGGAGCCAACCUUGAAAUACCACCCUUUAAUGUUUGAUGUUCUAACGUUGGCCCCUUAUCGGGGUUGCGGACAGUGUCUGGUGGGUAGUUUGACUGGGGCGGUCUCCUCCCAAAGCGUAACGGAGGAGCACGAAGGUUAGCUAAUCCUGGUCGGACAUCAGGAGGUUAGUGCAAUGGCAUAAGCUAGCUUGACUGCGAGCGUGACGGCGCGAGCAGGUGCGAAAGCAGGUCAUAGUGAUCCGGUGGUUCUGAAUGGAAGGGCCAUCGCUCAACGGAUAAAAGGUACUCCGGGGAUAACAGGCUGAUACCGCCCAAGAGUUCAUAUCGACGGCGGUGUUUGGCACCUCGAUGUCGGCUCAUCACAUCCUGGGGCUGAAGUAGGUCCCAAGGGUAUGGCUGUUCGCCAUUUAAAGUGGUACGCGAGCUGGGUUUAGAACGUCGUGAGACAGUUCGGUCCCUAUCUGCCGUGGGCGCUGGAGAAUUGAGGAGGGCUGCUCCUAGUACGAGAGGACCGGAGUGGACGCAUCACUGGUGUUCGGGUUGUCAUGCCAAUGGCACUGCCCGGUAGCUAAAUGCGGAAGAGAUAAGUGCUGAAAGCAUCUAAGCACGAAACUUGCCCCGAGAUGAGUUCUCCCUGAGACUUUAAGUCUCCUGAAGGAACGUUAAAGACGAUGACGUUGAUAGGCCGGGUGUGUAAGCGCAGCGAUGCGUUGAGCUAACCGGUACUAAUGAACCGUGAGGCUUAACCUU
rnacentral:rRNA from 1 species